ensembl:lncRNA
GCCGGGAGGGCCCAAAACAGCCGAACGAGGGGCGUUGCCCUGAGGAGGGCCCUCUUCGGUGCUGGGAGCUGGAGGCCUGGGGAUCACGACUUCAGCCUCUGAAAGACACAGCUUGGGACCCAGCCGGCCUGCGGCAGGACAAAGCCAAGACCUGUGCCUCCAAACCCCGCCCUCGGCCUGGCACAAUUGAGGGCCUGAGUUUGGAAACCAAACCGUAUUUGUGGAAAGGUCUUUUCCUGGCCUUAACCUAUCUCCUCCCGUCAAUAUACUGAUCGGGGCUCAUGAAUUUUCAAGGGACCAUCUGGAGAUUAUCAGGUUUUCUCGCUGUGCCCUCUUCCUCUCCAGUGCUCUGCGCUGUGCAACUGUAGCCACUUGGGCCUCUUCAAACUCCCUGCUCGGUCUCCUCACCUCUGGGAGACACUAACCUCCACCUGGACCCCCUGCCCUAAGCCACAUACUGGACACUUUAUUCAGGCGGGAACUAGAGCAUUCACCGGGCUCAUUUCACUUGUUUUCAUCCGUUGGGAAUCACCGCCCUUUGCCGCUGCAGUAAGUUGAGCAACCUCCACUACCACAUGCUCCCACCAUCAUUGUAUUCAGGCCUAUAACAGUGGAGCCAGCGAGCAGGGGCCGAAACCUCUGGAACAGUGAGCCAAAAUAAACACUUCUUCCCUUAGAUUAUUACUCUCAGGUCCUCUGUCACAACAACAGAAAGCUGACUAACGUAAGAGAAAAGAAAGAUCCAACCUUUCAUUAUGUAAUAAGCCUUAUUAAUCAUCAAUGAUGAGUCAGAAACUAUGCUGAACAGUGGGGAAUGAGAAGCCCUGUGAAGAACAGAGGCGUGUCGUAGAUCUUUGUUGUACUCUACGAUCCAUUGAUGCGUCCUUCCUAUUGUAAGGCAUAGUUUAACUUCAGUGGCA